CCCAGCACGAAUUUCAGUGCUCAACAUGCCCCUUUAGUCUGGGACUAAACAAGACCGCUAUGUUAUUUGGUUAAAUAGGGAAGCUAUCCGCAAGAGGCACACCGCCUUAAUUAAGUGCCCCUCCUGUAUCGCCCAUUGUGGGAUGUCUGAGUGCAUCAAGAUAGUAGCUUGUUAUGGAGGAGGGCACAUCCUUCUUAAGAACAACUAACAAAUAUAGUUACUG